rnacentral:rRNA from 1 species
AGGACGGCAGCAGGCGCGGAACUUGCCCAAUGCGCGGCGCGCGAGGCAGCGACGGGGAGCGCGCGAGCGAGGCGGGCCCACAGCCCCCGCCGCGGAGCCGAGGGCAAGGUCUGGUGCCAGCAGCCGCGGUAAUUCCAGCUCGGCGAGCGUCGCGCGGCGCUGCUGCAGUUGAAACGCCCGUAGUUGGCCCCCCGCCGCCACGAGGAAACGGGAGCGCUCCAGGCAGGCCCGUUGGACCCGCCGCGUGGGACCGCGCAGCGGGCGCGGCGCGCCGCGGCAGCCCCGAGGAGAGCGGGCGGGGGCACCGGUACCGGCCGGGGACGGGUGAAACAGGAUGAUCCCGCCGAGACCGCCGGCCGCGCAGGCGCCUGCCAAGACCGCCUCUGUCAAUCAAGGGCGAAGGCCGGGGGCUAGAAGGCGAUCAGACACCAC